GUGCUCGCUUCAGCAGCACAAAUACCAAAGUUGGAAUGAUAGAGAAGAUUAGAAUGGCCCCUGCACAAGGAUGACAUUCAAAUUCAUUAAUCAUCCCAUACUUUU